rnacentral:rRNA from 1 species
CAAGAGUUUGAUCCUGGCUCAGGACGAACGCUGGCGGCGUGCUUAACACAUGCAAGUCGAGCGGGGACAGAGACUUCGGUUGAUGUUCUAGCGGCGGACGGGUGAGUAACGCGUGAGCAAUCUGCCUUUCGGUGAGGAAUAACAGGGAGAAAUCGCUGCUAAUACCUCAUGACGCAACGAAGUCGCAUGGCUUUGUUGCCAAAGAUUUAUCGCCGAAAGAUGAGCUCGCGUCCGAUUAGGUAGUUGGUGAGAUAAAAGCCCACCAAGCCGACGAUCGGUAGCCGAACUGAGAGGUUGAACGGCCACAUUGGAACUGAGAUACGGUCCAGACUCCUACGGGAGGCAGCAGUGGGGAAUAUUGGGCAAUGGGCGCAAGCCUGACCCAGCGACGCUGUGUGAGGGAAGAAGGUCUUCGGAUUGUAAACCUUUGUCAACAGGGACGAAACAAAUGACGGUACCUGUGGAGGAAGCCACGGCUAACUACGUGCCAGCAGCCGCGGUAAGAUCACCU